GAUGAAGAACGCAGCGAAAUGCGAUACGUAAUGUGAAUUGCAGAAUUCAGUGAAUCAUCGAAUCUUUGAACGCAUAUUGCGCUCUCUGGUAUUCCGGAGAGCAUGCUUGUUUGAGUAUCAGUAAACACCUCAACUCCCUUUUCUUUUUUGAAAUUGGAGCUGGACUUGAGUGAUCCCAACGCUUUCUUCCAAGAAAGUGGCGGGUUGCUUGAAAUGCAGGUGCAGCUGAACUUUUCUCUGAGCUAUAAGCAUAUCUAUUUAGUCUGCCUAAAAAACAGAUUAUUACCUUUGCUGCAGCUAACAUAAAGGAGACUAGUUCUUGUGCUGACUGAUGCAGGAUUCACAGAGACAGCUUCGGCUGACUUUGUAAACUCGAUCUCAAAUCAAGUAAGACUACCCGCUGAACUUAAGCAUAACAAUAAGCGGAGGA
rnacentral:misc_RNA from 1 species